rnacentral:lncRNA from 1 species
UGUAAGGUUGUGGUUGGUGAGCCUGUGGAAAAACCAACUGGGUUUGAUUGUGAACCCGGAAAAACAAUCGGUUGGUUCUAGUCGGUGAGCCUGUGAAAACCGACCGAGUUCGUUGUUAUCUUGUAAAACAACAAGUUGGGUUGUGAGCUUGUAAAACAACCGGCUGUAAUCUGUAGGAUUAUAGUGAAAUUCCCAAGAAGUCUUGGGGAGUGGAUGU